AGUGAACGCUGGCGGUAGGCCUAACACAUGCAAGUCGAACGGCAGCACAGUAAGGGCUUGCUCUUACGGGUGGCGAGUGGCGGACGGGUGAGGAAUACAUCGGAAUCUACUUUUUCGUGGGGGAUAACGUAGGGAAACUUACGCUAAUACCGCAUACGAUCUACGGGUGAAAGCAGGGGAUCUUCGGACCUUGCGCGAUUGAAUGAGCCGAUGUCGGAUUAGCUAGUUGGCGGGGUAAAGGCCCACCAAGGCGACGAUCCGUAGCUGGUCUGAGAGGAUGAUCGGCCACACUGGAACUGAGACACGGUCCAGACUCCUACGGGAGGCAGCAGUGGGGAAUAUUGGACAAUGGGCGCAAGCCUGAUCCAGCCAUACCGCGUGGGUGAAGAAGGCCUUCGGGUUGUAAAGCCCUUUUGUUGGGAAAGAAAAGCAGCAGGUUAAUACCCCGCUGUUCUGACGGUACCCAAAGAAUAAGCACCGGCUAACUUCGUG
rnacentral:rRNA from 1 species